rnacentral:rRNA from 1 species
GAUGAACGCUGGCGGCGUGCCUAAUACAUGCAAGUCGAGCGAACGGACGAGAAGCUUGCUUCUCUGAUGUUAGCGGCGGACGGGUGAGUAACACGUGGAUAACCUACCUAUAAGACGGGGAUAACUUCGGGAAACCGGAGCUAAUACCGGAUAAUAUUUUGAACCGCAUGGUUCAAAAGUGAAAGACGGUCUUGCUGUCACUUAUAGAUGGAUCCGCGCUGCAUUAGCUAGUUGGUAAGGUAACGGCUUACCAAGGCAACGAUGCAUAGCCGACCUGAGAGGGUGAUCGGCCACACUGGAACUGAGACACGGUCCAGACUCCUACGGGAGGCAGCAGUAGGGAAUCUUCCGCAAUGGGCGAAAGCCUGACGGAGCAACGCCGCGUGAGUGAUGAAGGUCUUCGGAUCGUAAAACUCUGUUAUUAGGGAAGAACAUAUGUGUAAGUAACUGUGCACAUCUUGACGGUACCUAAUCAGAAAGCCACGGCUAACUACGUG